rnacentral:rRNA from 1 species
CCUACGGGGGGCAGCAGUGGGGAAUAUUGCACAAUGGGCGCAAGCCUGAUGCAGCCAUGCCGCGUGUGUGAAGAAGGCCUUCGGGUUGUAAAGCACUUUCAGCGGGGAGGAAGGCGGUGAGGUUAAUAACCUCAUCGAUUGACGUUACCCGCAGAAGAAGCACCGGCUAACUCCGUGCCAGCAGCCGCGGUAAUACGGAGGGUGCAAGCGUUAAUCGGAAUUACUGGGCGUAAAGCGCACGCAGGCGGUCUGUCAAGUCGGAUGUGGAAUCCCCGGGCUCAACCUGGGAACUGCAUUCGAAACUGGCAGGCUAGAGUCUUGUAGAGGGGGGAGAAUUCCAGGUGUAGCGGUGAAAUGCGUAGAGAUCUGGGGGAAUACCGGUGGCGAAGGCGGCCCCCUGGACAAAGACUGACGCUCAGGUGCGAAAGCGUGGGGAGCAAACAGGAUUAGAUACCCGGGUAGUC